UGCAGUCGAGCGAGGUCCAUCCGGUGGCAACACCGGGGAAGACCUAGCGGCGAACGGGUGAGUAACACGUGAGCAACCUGCCCCGAAGACUGGGAUAACACCGGGAAACCGGUGCUAAUACCGGAUGCCCUCCUCUGGUCGCAUGGCCUAGGGAGGAAAGGAACCUUGCUUCGGGAGGGGCUCGCGGGCUAUCAGCUUGUUGGUGAGGUAACGGCUCACCAAGGCGACGACGGCUAGCUGGUCUGAGAGGACGACCAGCCACACUGGGACUGAGACACGGCCCAGACUCCUACGGGAGGCAGCAGUGGGGAAUCUUGCGCAAUGGGCGAAAGCCUGACGCAGCAACGCCGCGUGGGGGAUGAAGGCCCUCGGGUUGUAAACCCCUUUCAGCAGGGACGAAUCUGACGGUACCUGCAGAAGAAGCCCCGGCCAACUACGUGCCAGCAGCCGCGGUAAUACGUAGGGGGCGAGCGUUGUCCGGAUUUAUUGGGCGUAAAGAGCUCGUANGCGGCUUGGCAAGUCGGGUGUGAAACCUCCAGGCUCAACCUGGAGACGCCACUCGAUACUGCCAUGGCUAGAGUCCGGUAGGGGACCACGGAAUUCCUGGUGUAGCGGUGAAAUGCGCAGAUAUC
rnacentral:rRNA from 1 species